rnacentral:rRNA from 1 species
AACGAACGCUGGCGGCGUGCUUAACACAUGCAAGUCGAACGGGUUUAUUGGAUGUAGCAAUACAUUCAAUAGAUUAGUGGCGCACGGGUGAGUAACACGUAGGCAACCUACCCUUCAGUGGGGGACAACAGAGGGAAACUUCUGCUAAUACCGCAUACGGCCUUGUACUGGGAUGUACGAGGAGAAAGGAUUUAUUCGCUGAGGGAUGGGCCUGCGGCCUAUCAGCUAGUUGGCGGGGUGAAGGCCCACCAAGGCGAUGACGGGUAGCCGACCUGAGAGGGUGAUCGGCCACACUGGGACUGAGACACGGCCCAGACUCCUACGGGAGGCAGCAGUGGGGAAUAUUGGGCAAUGGGGGAAACCCUGACCCAGCAACGCCGCGUGAGGGAAGAAGGUCUUC